rnacentral:misc_RNA from 1 species
GAAAUGCGAUAAGUAGUGUGAAUUGCAGAAUUCAGUGAAUCAUCGAAUCUUUGAACGCACAUUGCGCCCUUUGGUAUUCCUUAGGGCAUGCCUGUUCGAGCGUCAUCUAAACCUUCAAGCCCUGCUUGGUGUUGGGUGCCUGUCCCGCCUCCGCGCGCGGACUCACCUCAAAUCCAUUGGCGGCCCCCGCGUCGGCCACGAGCGCAGCAGAAACGCGAACUCGUGAGCCCGUCCGGGCGGCUCCCAGAAGCUACACCCACCCAGUUUGACCUCGGAUCGGGUAGGGAUACCCGCUGAACUUAAGC